CACAUUCAUUGCUGUCGGUGGGUUUUAUCUCUUCGACUCGCCGGACAAUGAAUGAGA
ensembl:miRNA